CUACGGGCUGCUCCAGUCGAGAAUCUUCCGCAAUGGACGAAAGUCUGACGGAGCGACGCCGCGUGCGGGAUGAAGGCCUUCGGGUUGUAAACCGCUGUCAGUGGGGAGGAAAUGCAUCAGGGUUCUCCCUGGUGUUUGACCGAUCCGCAGAGGAAGCGCAGGCUAAGUUCGUGCCAGCAGCCGCGGUAACACGAACUGCGCGAACGUUAUUCGGAAUCACUGGGCUUAAAGAGUUCGUAGGCGGCCUUUCAAGUCGGGUGUGAAAUCCCUCGGCUCAACCGAGGAAUUGCGCCUGAUACUGUUGGGCUUGAGGGGGAUAGGGGUGAGCGGAACUGAUGGUGGAGCGGUGAAAUGCGUUGAUAUCAUCAGGAACACCGGUGGCGAAGGCGGCUCACUGGAUCUCUUCUGACGCUGAGGAACGAAAGCUAGGGGAGCGAACGGGAUUAGAUACCCGGGUAGUC
rnacentral:rRNA from 1 species